rnacentral:rRNA from 1 species
UACGUAGGUGACAAGCGUUGUCCGGAUUUACUGGGUGUAAAGGGCGCGCAGGCGGGAUAGCAAGUCAGGAGUGAAAUGCCGAGGCUCAACCUCGGAGCUGCUCUUGAAACUGUUAUUCUUGAGUAUCGGAGAGGAAAGCGGAAUUCCCAGUGUAGCGGUGAAAUGCGUAGAUAUUGGGAGGAACACCGGUGGCGAAGGCGGCUUUCUGGACGACAACUGACGCUGAGGCGCGAAAGUGUGGGGAG